UACGUAGGCAGCAAGCGUUUGUUCGGAGUUACUGGGCGUAAAGAGUGCGUAGGCGGUUUCGUAAGUUUGGUGUGAAAUCUCCCGGCUUAACUGGGAGGGUGCGCCGAAAACUGCGGGGCUGGAGUGUGGGAGAGGUAAGCGGAAUUCCUGGUGUAGCGGUGAAAUGCGUAGAUAUCAGGAGGAACACCUGUGGCGAAAGCGGCGCACUGGACCACAACUGACGCUGAGGCGCGAAAGCUAGGGGAGCAAACAGG
rnacentral:rRNA from 1 species